rnacentral:rRNA from 1 species
AUAUACAGCCAUGUCACCCUGAACGUGCCUGAUCUCGUCUGAUCUCGGAAGCUAAGCAGGGUCGGGCCUGGUUAGUACUUGGAUGGGAGACCACUUAGGAUUACCAGGUGCUGUAGGCA